UACGGAGGGGGCUAGCGUUGUUCGGAAUUACUGGGCGUAAAGCGCGUGUAGGCGGUUGCCAAAGUCGGGUGUGAAAGCCUUGAGCUCAACUCAAGAAAUGUACUCGAUACUUGGUGACUAGAGGACCGGAGAGGAUAGUGGAAUUCCCAGUGUAGUGGUGAAAUACGUAGAGAUUGGGAAGAACACCAGUGGCGAAGGCGGCUAUCUGGACGGUUUCUGACGCUAAGACGCGAAAGCGUGGGGAGCAAACAGG
rnacentral:rRNA from 1 species